GGAAACAGUGUCAAAGGCUAUACUAAAGUCUAGGUAGACAAUCCACAGCCUUUCCCUUAUCCACUAAGCAGGUCCCCUUGUAGAAGGAGAUCAGGUUGUUCAAGCAGGACCUGCUGCAAAAAUCCUGCAAGAAUAAACCCAUACUGACUGGGCCUGAUUGUCUGGUUGUCCUAUAUGUGCCACAUGAUGAUACUCAAGAUCAUGUUCUCUACAACCUUCCCUGGCACUGAGGUCAGACUGACAGGCCUGUAGUUCCUCCGACCCUCCUUCCAGACAUUCUUGUAGAUGGACAUCACAUUUGCUAACCUCCAGCCAACCUGGACCUCCCCACUUAGCUAGGACUGCUGAUUGAAAGUGGUUUUGUGAGCACUUCCACCAGAUCCCUCAAUACCCUUGGGUGGAUCACAUCUGGCUCCAUAGACUUGUGUGUGUCUAAGUGGUGUAGCAGGUUGCUAACCAUUUCCCCUUGGAUUAUGGGGAUUUCAUUCUUCUCUCUGUCUUAAAGCUCAAGGGGCUGGAUACCCCAAGAACAACUGGUCUUACUGGUAAAGACUCAGGUAAAGAAGGUAUUACGUACCUCAGCGUUUUCCUCAGCCUUUGUCACUGUUCCCUCCCUCAUCCAAUAAAGGAUAGAGAUUCUCCUCAGCUCUCCUUUUGUUGUUAAUAUAUUUAUAUAUAUAUAUAUACACAUACAUAUAUUCUUGUUUACAAAUGUGCUGUUACAGCUUAUCUCAGUCUGUUUUGUUCAGUGACACUUAUUUGAGAGGUUGUCUUGAAAUCCACAGCCCUAACAGGACAGCUGCAAAGACUGCUUCUGGUUUAGUGGAAACAGAUCACAGCAGAGACGUGAUUCGGGAAGAGAAAUCACUCUGUCCUUGGCUCUGUCCUUGCGUCUGAAGAUGUUGCCCUUUGGAGUGCCAUUGUGCCUGGCUGUCUCUAUCCAUCUCCUGCUGCUAAAUAAGUAAAGGUAUGAAAAGAUCAGUUACUGGGGAGUGGUUAUGCACCAAAGAGGGUAUUAGUCCACCAAACUAUGUUCCAUGUGUGUGCAGCAAGGAUAAAUUCCUACCCAAGGUACAGGUAAGAAGCAGUAACCCAUAGCUUACUCCUCCUGGAUUAGUGAUGUGUUGGUGCAUAAUGGCUUGUUAUUUCUCGGUAUGUGUGAGCAUCCAGCAUUCCUUACAUGUAUCCACAUACAAAAGAUCAGUAAAUAAUAUGAUAUUGCAAGAACUGUA